GAAAGUAUUCAGCUAGAGCAAACGUGGCUGCAGAGAAAAUGUACGGGCUUAAACUGAGAUUUGCACGGUCCAAGAGGCGCACACGUUUUCACGGUGUCUUGUGGAUGGAAUUGUGGAAAUAAAUGUUAAAAAGACAUCUGUAUGAUGCGUGGCCGUAUUCAAUUGGACCAGUGUAAUUACAGUGAAAACGUAACGCCAGCAUGGCCAAGAGUCUAAAGCGAAAGCCUUACUAAAGAGCAACGUGAGUCCGUGAAGAGAGCCAGAGCAAGAGAGAGAGAGAAAAGCAUCGCUGAGGCAGCGUGUGACCGGACAAGAAGCGAGAGAAGAGAUCGUGCUGACCCACGGGAUAAGGAAGGAGAGCCGUUCCUGACACAGAGUGCAGAGUGCCGCGAUUCCGCCAACAGAGGACAGCAACAACGAGGACUACAGCGCCGCAAAUAUCCCCUACAGGCGACAGAGUGCAGUAUCUGUUUUCCUCCUUUGCUGUCAACACAAAACGGGCGGCUCCACGGACAGCGCGAGGUUUGAUUGUGCUAUCCUGUGCUUCUUUAUGGAACUUUGUAGGCUACAGUUUGAAAGAAAGGACUUGAUAAAACAAACUGCUGGUUCAUUGAGAGAGUAAUUUUAUCUGUCUUUACUGCCCAGUUGCUGUUACUGAAACAGAGUAAUUGUUAAUGUUAUUGCUAAUAGUUUUCAUCUGAGAGUUUAAGUACUCAAUCAAGUUCAGGUGAAUAGAAAUAGCAAUUGACUACACUGAUAACUACUUUGUUGUAAAGGGCUUAUCUGCACAAUUAGCAAGUUAAUGCAUACAGUGCCUUUUCUAAAAUCUGCAAAAUGUCAGUUCAUGAAGAAAAAUCACCAAGUGCCAAAUUAAGUGAA